UUAAAUUUAGGCGAUGGAGUUCGCCGGAUUUUUUAUAAAACCGCUAACAUAUCUUUUUAAAGCUGAUAACUCCUACGGUUCU
rnacentral:ncRNA from 2 species